rnacentral:misc_RNA from 1 species
AACAUCGCGCACCUGCGGGAACCUGCGGAAGGAUCAUUACAGAGUGUAAAAACUCCCAAAACCCAUGUGAACAUACCUUUUUGUUGCUUCGGCGGGAUCGCCCCGGGCGCCUUGUGUGCCCCGGAGUCAGGCGCCCGCCGGGGGACCCAAACUCUUGUUUUUAACGAGUAUCUUCUGAGUAACGUUUUUAAAUAAAUAAAAACUUUUAGCAACGGAUCU